rnacentral:rRNA from 1 species
UGGCGACCGGCGCACGGGUGAGUAACACGUAUCCAACCUGCCGAUGACUCGGGGAUAGCCUUUCGAAAGAAAGAUUAAUACCCGAUGGCAUAGUUCUUCCGCAUGGUAGAACUAUUAAAGAAUUUCGGUCAUCGAUGGGGAUGCGUUCCAUUAGCUUGUUGGCGGGGUAACGGCCCACCAAGGCAUCGAUGGAUAGGGGUUCUGAGAGGAAGGUCCCCCACACUGGUACUGAGACACGGACCAGGCUCCUACGGAAGGCAGCAG